rnacentral:rRNA from 1 species
UACGUAGGGUGCAAGCGUUUGUCCGGAAUUAUUGGGCGUAAAGGGCUCGUAGGCGGUCCAUCGCGUCGGGAGUGAAAAGCUGGGGCUCAACCCCAGUCCUGCUUCCGAUACGGGGUGGACUAGAGGUAGGCAGGGGAGAACGGAAUUCCUGGUGUAGCGGUGGAAUGCGCAGAUAUCAGGAGGAACACCAAUAGCGAAGGCAGCUCGCUGGGACGUUACUGACACUGAGGCGCGAAAGCGUGGGGAGCGAACAGG